UGCCGCUUAUUCUGGGAACCCAUUGUCUUGAAAACAAUAAAGAAGUGUUCAAUUCACUUAACGGCAU
rnacentral:tRNA from 1 species